rnacentral:rRNA from 1 species
GUUGUAUAGUCAAGUAAUUAAGUGCAUGUGGUGGAUGCCUUGGCAGUCAGAGGCGAUGAAAGACGUGAUAGCCUGCGAAAAGCUCCGGGGAGGCGGCAAAUAUCCUUUGAUCCGGAGAUGUCUGAAUGGGGGAACCCACCUACUUUAAGGUAGGUAUUGCAACAUGAAUACAUAGUGUUGCAAGGCGAACGAGGGGAAGUGAAACAUCUCAGUACCCUUAGGAAAAGAAAUCAAUUGAGAUUCCCUCAGUAGCGGCGAGCGAACGGGGAUCAGCCCAUUAAGUUAUGUGUGUUUUAGUGGAACGCUCUGGGAAGUGCGAACGUAGAGGGUGAUAUUCCCGUACACGAAAGGGCACACAUAAUGAUGACGAGUAGGGCGAGGCACGUGAAACCUUGUCUGAAUAUGGGGGGACCAUCCUCCAAGGCUAAAUACUCCUGACUGACCGAUAGUGAACCAGUACCGUGAGGGAAAGGCGAAAAGAACCCCUGUGAGGGGAGUGAAAUAGAUCCUGAAACCGCAUGCAUACAAGCAGUGGGAGCACCUUCGUGGUGUGACUGCGUACCUUUUGUAUAAUGGGUCAGCGACUUAUAUUCAGUAGCGAGGUUAACCGUAUAGGGGAGCCGUAGAGAAAUCGAGUCUUAAUAGGGCGUUUAGUUGCUGGGUAUAGACCCGAAACCAGGCGAUCUAUCCAUGAGCAGGUUGAAGGUUGGGUAACACUAACUGGAGGACCGAACCCACUGUCGUUGAAAAGCCAGGGGAUGACUUGUGGAUAGGGGUGAAAGGCUAAUCAAGCCUGGUGAUAGCUGGUUCUCCCCGAAAGCUAUUUAGGUAGCGCCUCGGACGAAUACCAUAGGGGGUAGAGCACUGUUUCGGCUAGGGGGUCAUCCCGACUUACCAAACCGAUGCAAACUCCGAAUACCUAUGAGUACUAUCCGGGAGACAGACUGCGGGUGCUAACGUCCGUAGUCAAGAGGAAAACAAUCCAGACCGCCAGCUAAGGCCCCAAAAUCAUAGUUAAGUGGGAAACGAUGUGGGAAGGCAUAGACAGCUAGGAGGUUGGCUUAGAAGCAGCCACCCUUUAAAGAAAGCGUAAUAGCUCACUAGUCGAGUCGGCCUGCGCGGAAGAUGUAACGGGGCUAAAACUAUGUGCCGAAGCUGCGGAUNNNNNNNNNNNNNNNNNNNNNNNNNNNNNNNAUGCUGGAGGUAUCAGAAGUGCGAAUGCUGACGUGAGUAACGACAAAACGGGUGAAAAACCCGUUCGCCGAAAGACCAAGGGUUCCAGUCCAACGUUAAUCGGGGCUGGGUGAGUCGACCCCUAAGGCGAGGCCGAAAGGCGUAGUCGAUGGGAAAAUGGUUAAUAUUCCAUUACUUCUGUGUAAUGCGAUGAGAGGACGGAGAAGGCUAAAUCAGCCUGGCGUUGGUUGUCCAGGUGAAAGGAUGUAGGCAUGUAUCUUAGGCAAAUCCGGGGUACUCUAUGCUGAGAUCUGAUAGCAAGCUGUACUUGUACAGCGAAGUGGUUGAUGCCAUGCUUCCAGGAAAAGUCUCUAAGCUUCAGUUACACAGGAAUCGUACCCGAAACCGACACAGGUGGUCAGGUCGAGUAGACCAAGGCGCUUGAGAGAACUCUGCUGAAGGAACUAGGCAAAAUGGUACCGUAACUUCGGGAGAAGGUACGCUGUUGUUGGUGAUGGAACUCGCUUCCUGAGCUGACGACAGCCGCAGAAACCAGGCCGCUGCAACUGUUUAUUAAAAACAUAGCACUCUGCAAACACGAAAGUGGACGUAUAGGGUGUGAUGCCUGCCCGGUGCUGGAAGGUUAAUUGAUGGGGUUAGCGUAAGCGAAGCUCUUGAUCGAAGCCCCAGUAAACGGCGGCCGUAACUAUAACGGUCCUAAGGUAGCGAAAUUCCUUGUCGGGUAAGUUCCGACCUGCACGAAUGGCAUAAUGAUGGCGGCGCUGUCUCCAGCAGAGGCUCAGUGAAAUCGAAAUCGCUGUGAAGAUGCAGUGUACCCGCGGCUAGACGGAAAGACCCCGUGAACCUUUACUGCAGCUUGACACUGAACUUUGACCUUACUUGUGUAGGAUAGGUGGGAGGCUUUGAAGCUGGAACGCUAGUUCCAGUGGAGCCGUCCUUGAAAUACCACCCUGGUAAUGUUGAGGUUCUAACUCUGUCCCGUGAUCCGGGACGAGGACCGUGUCUGGUGGGUAGUUUGACUGGGGCGGUCUCCUCCUAAAGAGUAACGGAGGAGUACGAAGGUGCGCUCAGCGUGGUCGGAAAUCACGCGUAGAGUAUAAAGGCAAAAGCGCGCUUAACUGCGAGACCCACAAGUCGAGCAGGUACGAAAGUAGGUCUUAGUGAUCCGGUGGUUCUGUAUGGAAGGGCCAUCGCUCAACGGAUAAAAGGUACUCUGGGGAUAACAGGCUGAUACCGCCCAAGAGUUCAUAUCGACGGCGGUGUUUGGCACCUCGAUGUCGGCUCAUCUCAUCCUGGGGCUGAAGCAGGUCCCAAGGGUAUGGCUGUUCGCCAUUUAAAGAGGUACGCGAGCUGGGUUUAGAACGUCGUGAGACAGUUCGGUCCCUAUCUACCGUGGGCGCUGGAAAUUUGAGAGGAUCUGCUCCUAGUACGAGAGGACCAGAGUGGACGAACCUCUGGUGUACCGGUUGUGACGCCAGUCGCAUCGCCGGGUAGCUAUGUUCGGAAGGGAUAACCGCUGAAAGCAUCUAAGCGGGAAGCCUACCUCAAGAUAAGAUUUCCCUAGGACUUUAUGUCCUCUAAAGAGCCGUUCGAGACUAGGACGUUGAUAGGUUGGAUGUGGAAGCAUAGUGAUAUGUGAAGCUGACCAAUACUAAUUGCUCGUGAGGCUUGACUAUACAACACCCAAGCAGUUG